rnacentral:rRNA from 1 species
GAUGAACGCUAGCGGCAGGCUUAAUACAUGCAAGUCGAGGGACAGCACAGGUAGCAAUACUGGGUGGUAACCGGCAAACGGGUGCGGAACACGUACACAACCUUCCUUUAAGUGGGGGAUAGCCCAGAGAAAUUUGGAUUAAUACCCCGUAAUAUAGUUGAAUGGCAUCAUUUGAUUAUUAUAGCUACGGCGCUUAAUGAUGGGUGUGCGGCUGAUUAGAUAGUUGGCGGGGUAACGGCCCACCAAGUCUACGAUCAGUAGCUGAUGUGAGAGCAUGAUCAGCCAAACGGGCACUGAGACACGGGCCCGACUCCUACGGGAGGCAGCAGUAAGGAAUAUUGGUCAAUGGACGCAAGUCUGGACCCGCCAUGCCGCGUGAAGGAUUAAGGUCCUCUGGAUUGUAAACUUCUUUUAUUUGGGACGAAAAAGGGCCUUUCUAGGUCAACUGACGGUACCAGAUGAAUAAGCACCGGCUAACUCCGUGCCAGCCGCCGCGGUAA